AAUGAACGUUGGCGGCGUGGAUUAGGCAUGCAAGUCGCGCGACAAGGAACCUUCGGGUUCUGGAGGAGCGGCAAACGGGGUAGUAAGGCAUCGGAACGUACCCUCUUGUUGGGAAUAGCCGCGGGAAACUGCGAGUAAUGCCCAAUAAUCCCUACGGGGCAAAGGUCCGCCGCAGGAGGAGCGGCCGAUGUGAUACCAGCUAGUUGGUGAGGUAAUGGCUCACCAAGGCUUAGACGUCUAGGGGGUGUGAGAGCAUGGCCCCCACCACUGGGACGUGAGAUACUGCCCACGACACCUACGGGUGGGCUGCAGUCGAGAAU
rnacentral:rRNA from 1 species